rnacentral:misc_RNA from 1 species
UUGGAAUUGAGAAAAUAAUAUUCAAAUUCAUAUAAUAAACUACAUCUUUUAACACCUCUUCCACCAUUUCCACAGCUUCCCUAUUAAUCUCACGUGGAAACAGUACCUUUAUUCCUGCUGUAGUAAUGUUACAAAAAUUGGCCUUGGAAAAGAGAAGUGGAGAAAAUGUUAAUGUAUGUAUAUUUUGAUAGUCAUAUUAUUUUAACAAGAUUGUGUUUUUCAAUUGUUUCAGUGUUUUCAAUGGGUUAGCUCUUACAUUACUUCUUGAUAGGUCAAGUCUCACAUUGAUUAAAAACAAAAUAUUUGGCUGCUUAAUUUUAU